rnacentral:rRNA from 1 species
CCUACGGGCGACUGCAGUGGGGAAUAUUGGUCAAUGGGCGCACGCCUGAACCAGCCAAGUCGCGUGAGGGAUGACGGUCCUAUGGAUUGUAAACCUCUUUUGUCGGGGAGCAAGGCCCGCCACGUGUGGCGGGAAGGCGAGUACCCGAAGAAAAAGCAUCGGCUAACUCCGUGCCAGCAGCCGCGGUAAUACGCAGGAUGCGAGCGUUAUCCGGAUUUAUUGGGUUUAAAGGGUGCUGAGGCGGAAGGUUAAGUCAGCGGUAAAAUGUCGGUGCUCAACACCGGCCUGCCGUUGAAACUGGUCUUCUUGAGUGAGCGAGAAGUAUGCGGAAUGCGUGGUGUAGCGGUGAAAUGCAUAGAUAUCACGCAGAACUCCGAUUGCGAAGGCAGCAUACCGGCGCUCAACUGACGCUGAGGCACGAAAGCGUGGGGAUCGAACAGGAUUAGAUACCCUAGUAGUC